CCUACGGGCGGCAGCAGUGAGGAAUAUUGGUCAAUGGACGAGAGCCUGAACCAGCCAAGUAGCGUGAAGGAUGACUGCCCUACGGGUUGUAAACUUCUUUUAUAAAGGAAUAAAGCGAGUCACGUGUGCCUUUUUGCAUGUACUUUAUGAAUAAGGAUCGGCUAACUCCGUGCCAGCAGCCGCGGUAAUACGGAGGAUCCGAGCGUUAUCCGGAUUUAUUGGGUUUAAAGGGAGCGUAGGUGGAUUGUUAAGUCAGUUGUGAAAGUUUGCGGCUCAACCGGAAAAUUGCAGUUGAAACUGGCAGUCUGGAGUACAGUAGAGGUAGGCGGAAUUCGUGGUGUAGCGGUGAAAUGCUUAGAUAUGACGAAGAACUCCGAUUGCGAAGGCAGCUCACUGGACUGCAACUGACACUGAUGCUCGAAAGUGUGGGUAUCGAACAGGAUUAGAUACCCCAGUAGUC
rnacentral:rRNA from 1 species